rnacentral:rRNA from 1 species
AGUGAACGCUGGCGGCAGGCCUAACACAUGCAAGUCGAACGGCAGCACGGGAGCAAUCCUGGUGGCGAGUGGCGAACGGGUGAGUAAUGUAUCGGAACGUGCCCAGUCGUGGGGGAUAACGUAGCGAAAGCUGCGCUAAUACCGCAUACGAUCUAUGGAUGAAAGCGGGGGAUCGCAAGACCUCGCGCGAUUGGAGCGGCCGAUAUCAGAUUAGGUAGUUGGUGGGGUAAAGGCUCACCAAGCCGACGAUCUGUAGCUGGUCUGAGAGGACGACCAGCCACACUGGGACUGAGACACGGCCCAGACUCCUACGGGAGGCAGCAGUGGGGAAUUUUGGACAAUGGGCGCAAGCCUGAUCCAGCAAUGCCGCGUGCAGGAUGAAGGCCUUCGGGUUGUAAACUGCUUUUGUACGGAGCGAAAAGGCUCUCUCUAAUACAGGGGGCUCAUGACGGUACCGUAAGAAUAAGCACCGGCUAACUACGUGCCAGCCGCCGCCGUAAGAC